rnacentral:rRNA from 1 species
GACAGAGGGUGCAAACGUUGUUCGGAAUUACUGGGCGUAAAGCGCGUGUAGGUGGCGUGGUAAGUCGGAUGUGAAAUCCCACGGCUCAACCGUGGAACCGCUGGGUGUACUGGCGAUCUUGAGAGACCUAGGGUCACCGGACAGGCGGUGGAGCGGUGAAAUGCGUAGAUAUCGCCGGAACGCCGCGGCGAAAGCGGGUGACUGGAGGUCUUCUGACGCUGAGAC